rnacentral:rRNA from 1 species
GACGAACGCUGGCGGCGUGCUUAACACAUGCAAGUCGAACGGAAAGGCCCUGCUUGCAGGGUGCUCGAGUGGCGAACGGGUGAGUAACACGUGGGUGAUCUGCCCCUUACUUUGGGAUAAGCCUGGGAAACUGGGUCUAAUACUGGAUAGGACCAUGCUGUAGGUGGUGUGGUGGAAAGAUUAGUUUCGGUAAGGGAUGAGCUCGCGGCCUAUCCGCUUGUUGGUGGGGUAAUGGCCUACCAAGGCGUCGACGGGUAGCCGGCCUGAGAGGGUGGACGGCCACAUUGGGACUGCGAUACGGCCCAGACUCCUACGGGAGGCAGCAGUGGGGAAUAUUGCACAAUGGGCGCAAGCCUGAUGAAGCGACGCCGCGUGGGGGAUGACGGCCUUCGGGUUGUAAACUCCUUUCAGCCAUGACGAAGCCCUUGUGGUGACGGUAGUGGUAGAAGAAGCACCGGCUAACUACGUG